rnacentral:rRNA from 1 species
AGAGUUUGAUCCUGGCUCAGGAUGAACGCUAGCUACAGGCUUAACACAUGCAAGUCGAGGGGCAGCAUUUUAGUUUGCUUGCAAACUAAAGAUGGCGACCGGCGCACGGGUGAGUAACACGUAUCCAACCUGCCGAUAACUCGGGGAUAGCCUUUCGAAAGAAAGAUUAAUAUCCGAUAGUAUAUUAAAACCGCAUGGUUUUACUAUUAAAGAAUUUCGGUUAUCGAUGGGGAUGCGUUCCAUUAGUUUGUUGGCGGGGUAACGGCCCACCAAGACUACGAUGGAUAGGGGUUCUGAGAGGAAGGUCCCCCACAUUGGAACUGAGACACGGUCCAAACUCCUACGGGAGGCAGCAGUGAGGAAUAUUGGUCAAUGGACGAGAGUCUGAACCAGCCAAGUAGCGUGAAGGAUGACUGCCCUAUGGGUUGUAAACUUCUUUUAUAUGGGAAUAAAGUAUUCCACGUGUGGGAUUUUGUAUGUACCAUAUGAAUAAGGAUCGGCUAACUCCGUGCCAGCAGCCGCGGUAAUACGGAGGAUCCGAGCGUUAUCCGGAUUUAUUGGGUUUAAAGGGAGCGUAGGUGGAUUGUUAAGUCAGUUGUGAAAGUUUGCGGCUCAACCGUAAAAUUGCAGUUGAAACUGGCAGUCUUGAGUACAGUAGAGGUGGGCGGAAUUCGUGGUGUAGCGGUGAAAUGCUUAGAUAUCACGAAGAACUCCGAUUGCGAAGGCAGCUCACUGGAGCGCAACUGACGCUGAAGCUCGAAAGUGCGGGUAUCGAACAGGAUUAGAUACCCUGGUAGUCCGCACGGUAAACGAUGGAUGCCCGCUGUUGGUCUGAAUAGGUCAGCGGCCAAGCGAAAGCAUUAAGCAUCCCACCUGGGGAGUACGCCGGCAACGGUGAAACUCAAAGGAAUUGACGGGGGCCCGCACAAGCGGAGGAACAUGUGGUUUAAUUCGAUGAUACGCGAGGAACCUUACCCGGGCUUGAAUUGCAGAGGAAGGAUUUGGAGACAAUGACGCCCUUCGGGGCCUCUGUGAAGGUGCUGCAUGGUUGUCGUCAGCUCGUGCCGUGAGGUGUCGGCUUAAGUGCCAUAACGAGCGCAACCCUUAUCUUUAGUUACUAACAGGUCAUGCUGAGGACUCUAGAGAGACUGCCGUCGUAAGAUGUGAGGAAGGUGGGGAUGACGUCAAAUCAGCACGGCCCUUACGUCCGGGGCUACACACGUGUUACAAUGGCAGGUACAGAGAGACGGUCCCUUGCAAAAUGGAUCAAAUCCUUAAAGCCUGUCUCAGUUCGGACUGGGGUCUGCAACCCGACCCCACGAAGCUGGAUUCGCUAGUAAUCGCGCAUCAGCCAUGGCGCGGUGAAUACGUUCCCGGGCCUUGUACACACCGCCCGUCAAGCCAUGAAAGCCGGGGGCGCCUAAAGUCCGUGACCGUAAGGAGCGGCCUAGGGCGAAACUGGUAAUUGGGGCUAAGUCGUAACAAGGUAGCCGUACCGGAAGGUGCGGCUG